rnacentral:rRNA from 1 species
UAACCGGCGGGUGUGCUUAGCGGCGGACGGGUGAGUAACACGUAGGCAACCUACCCACCACACGGGGAUAGCCGGGGGAAACCCCGGGUAAUACCCGAUACCUUUGCUUUACGCAUGUAAGGCAAAGAAAGCGAACAAGCGGUGGUGGAUGGGCCUGCGGCCCAUUAGCUAGUUGGCGGGAUAACAGCCCACCAAGGCGACGAUGGGUAGCCGACCUGAGAGGGUGGCCGGCCACACUGGGACUGCGACACGGCCCAGACUCCUACGGGAGGCAGCAGUGGGGGAUAUUGCGCAAUGGGGGAAACCCUGACGCAGCGACGCCGCGUGUGGGAAGAAGGCCUUCGGGUUGUAAACCACAGUCAUCGGGGACGAAUAGGACGGUACCCGAGGAGGAAGCCCCGGCUAACUACGUGCCAGCAGCCGCGGUAAUACGUAGGGGGCGAGCGUUGUCCGGAAUUACUGGGUGUAAAGGGCGUGUAGGCGGGUAAGCAAGUUAUCGGUAAAAACCCAGGGCUCAACCUUGGGCCUGCCGAUAAAACUGCAUACCUUGAGUGCAGGAGAGGGGAGUGGAAUUCCCGGAGUAGCGGUGAAAUGCGUAGA